UCCGAAACGUGGAAUGUAAUUAAGGAUAAUGUUACUUUUCAUCUAUUUCUAAAAGCUGCUGUGAUUCGGGAUGUUUGGAUUCGAUCUCCGAAUGCGAAUCAUGUUUCAUGGACUCCUAAACGGACUAGCACUAACUAGUGUUUCUGCGUUAAAAUAAAUGUAAAUAUUUGUAAAUAAAUGAUGUAAAUGAACGAC